AUGUUUGAUGACAUUUUAUUGUCUGUGCUGAUUUUAGCAAUAAAAAAAAAAAGUCAUAUAUCUGGUACGGGGGGUGGCCCUCCAACCCAAGACUUCACCACAGCAGAGGAGCUGGCCCUGGACUUAAAUAAAGGGAAGCCAGUGAUUGAAGGGAUCCAGGGAGGGACAGCCACUGACUCUGGCCCAGCAAGGGAUACUGGCCUCUUCAUACAAGUGGCUGGUAACACCCUUACAUUUUUGGAGCCACCAGACUAUAAUUCAUCGAGGGAAGCCACAUCUACAGCAGUGGAGUGCACUUCUGCCGAUGAUGAGACCGUGUCGCUGGACUCCAGAAGGCUCGAGGAUCCUGACAUUGGGCAGCCUGAUAAGCAGCCUCGUAACAUAAGUUCACAAACUGUCAGAUAUCUGUACACAACGCAUCUUAAGAGACAGAUCGAGCUGACAGAAGUCAAGAUUGAUGUGAAAAAAAGAAAGCUGCAGGACAUGGACCUUGAGAUGCAAAUUAAACGAAACACACUGAGGAAACUAGAACUGGAAAUCCAGAAACUAGAAAGAGAAGUAAGUGACUUCAGUUCAUACUGUAACCAUGACUGUAACACAAUGUAUUAAUCAUCAUAAUUUUUUUCUCUCCAAAGCUCCAAGCUGACAAGUGAUAACAACAAAAUAAUAAAAGAAAAAUAUUCCAAAAGCA
ensembl:lncRNA